GUCUGUGCGGGUGUUGAUGCACAGUCUGGCCUGCCCCCUGAGAUUUUAAAGGGCCGCGGUAUUUGGACCGUGCUAAGGUAGCAUAAUAAAUAGUCUUUUAAUUGAAGUCUAGUAUGAAUGGUCGGACAUGAAGUAAGCUGUUUCAGCCUUAACAACUAAAUUUUACCUUUAAGUGAAAAGGCUUAGAUUGGAUGGUGGGACGAUAAGACCCUAUAAAGCUUACACUGUGUCUAUUGGUCUGGGGGUCUAAGGUUUUCAAUCCCUGUUAGGCAGAGCGUUUCGUUGGGGCGACGGGAAUAAAAAUAGUAACUGUUUUUUACAUAAAAAUAUAUGUCUAUAGGUGUAUUGAUCCUUUUUAGAGAUUAUAAGAUUUAAGUUACUUUAGGGAUAACAGCGUAAUUUCUCUUGAGAGUUCAUAUCGACAGAUGUAGUUGCGACCUCGAUGUUGAAUUAAAGUGUCCCCAGGGUGUAGCAGUUUUGGUGGUAGGUCUGUUCGACCUUUAAAAUUUUACAUGAUUUGAGUUCAGACCGGCGUGAG
rnacentral:rRNA from 1 species